rnacentral:misc_RNA from 1 species
CCCUUCCGGUCUUCGAGACCCGCGGUCUUCAACUCGCCGCAGGGACCCCACGAAAGUGGCCAGAAAUGCGGGACGAGGCGAAGUAAACCCUUGACUAUGAGUACCUUUUGUUUCCCUCGGCGGGGCUCGCGCCCCGUCGCUGGGGCCCCAUCCCAAACCCCUUUGCAGUAGCAGUAUACCUCUGAUCGUGGGCACUUGAAUCUUUA